rnacentral:misc_RNA from 1 species
AACAUCGCGCACCUGCGGGAACCUGCGGAGGGAUCAUUACGAGAGUGUCACCACUCCCAACCCAUUGUUUACCUACCCGUCCACCGUGCUUCGGCAGGCAGCCCUGUGGGACAGAGCCUCGCCCCCUUUCGCGGGGGGUGCCUGCCGCUUGCCAACCAAAACUCUAGCUGUUUUAGUACCAUCUGAGUCUUCCACAAAUGAACAAAACUUUCAACAACGGAUCUCAGAUCGGAAGAGCAC